CACUCACUAGUCUUAUCUUUUGCCACUCACUCCCGCAGUCAAUAUCUCUCCAUUGUUGUAGACUCACUGAGUUGAAGUGAGUCGCAAAAAUAACAAUGGUGAGGUUGGAUUAUCGAGUUACAUUUUUCUCCUUAUCUAUCACGCUAUUUGGCGUGUGCAUUGAAGCUUCAAUACAUGAAUACUUCGGGGAGCAGUUCGUGAGAAAGGGCAAUGCCUUCGUGGUUCACGGCGGAAGUGAGGGAAUUUACUCUUCUGCACCUAGACUCAACGAGUCUUUCUCCGGAGACUCUUUCAUACGUUUUGAAAAGAUCAUAUUUAGGAGGCCUCAAGAGCUUUCAAACUUCAGCUCAGGGGCAAUUCAUGCAAUAUUAUUUGAGGUGGAUGAUAGAGAAACAAUUGGGGGAUCAGCCUAUGGGGGUCAAAGAGCUGUAUGCUGCACAGCAGAUCUUGAGAAACUUGGAGUCUGUAAGCAAGGCCAAAUCAUUUACCGCCCAUCUACUAAUAGUCCUGGUUGGCCUCAAGUAUAUGAUACAUCAUUUGAUGUUGAUAAGGCAGAGACUAUUCUGCAGCCAAGAUCGAUACAAAUUACAAAAACUGGAAUGUACAAUUUGUAUUUUAUUCAUUGUGAUCCUAAUUUUAAAGAUGUUAUUCUUGAGGGGAAAACCAUCUGGAAGAAUCCUACUGGUUACCUACCUGGUAGAAUGGCACCACUCAUGCAAUUUUAUGGGUUCAUGUCACUUGCAUAUAUGGUGCUUGGGAUCUUCUGGUUUUCACAGUAUGCAAAAUUCUGGAGAGAAGUUCUUCCGUUGCAAAACUUUAUUACACUUGUAAUAACCUUGGGAAUGUUUGAGAUGGCUUUGUGGUACAUUGAUUAUGCCAAGUUCAAUGAAACCGGGGUCAGACCAACUGGGAUCACUGUAUGGGCAGUCUCAUCUGGUACUGUGAAACGUACUAUUUCAAGAUUGAUCAUCCUGAUGGUUUCAAUGGGUUAUGGUGUUGUCCGACCUACUUUAGGUGGCCUUACAUCAAAGGUUCUAAUGCUUGGAGCAACCUUCUUUGUUGCAUCUGAAGUCCUUGAACUUGUCGAAAAUGUUGGUGCUACAAGUGAUCUCUCAGGAAGAGCUAUACUUUUCUUUGGUCUUCCUGUGGCAAUUUUGGAUGCUUUCUUCAUUCUUUGGAUAUUUAAAUCCCUCUCCUUAACUUUGAAUAAGCUUCAGGGUAGAAGGAUGACAGCAAAACUAGAUAUCUACAGAAAGUUUACAAAUGCUUUAGCUGUUACUGUUAUCGUCUCUGUUGGGUGGAUUUCCUAUGAGCUUUAUUUCAAGUCAAAUGAUGUGUACAAUGAGCAAUGGCAGAAUGCAUGGAUCAUCCCUGCCUUCUGGCAAGUCUUGUCUUUCUCACUCUUGUGUGUCAUCUGUGCUCUUUGGGCGCCAUCUCAGAACUCAAUGCGAUAUGCGUUUUCUUCCGAGGAUGCUAGUGAAGAUUUCGAUGGGGAAGAUUCUUUGACACUCAUUAAACCAUCAUCUCUACCUUCUAAGGAUGUAAUGCGUCCUUCAGAACUCAGAUCAGCAGAAAGCAGCAAAGGUCUUUUGCCCCAAGGAGAUAACGAAGAGGACAAGACUCUAUGAAGUGGAAAGAUUACGGUAAUGGUACCAUUGGUAAGGUUGAUUAGACAGCAUGGGACAAUAUUACGGAAGAAAAAUGAGAAAUUUUUUUGUUCAAAUACCGUCCAACUACGAUCUAGUAAUGCAUAUCAAACACGUCUUUGUAUUGUAACUGUAUUCAGAUAAGCAGGCUCAGGUUCAAGCUUAGGCUCACAAUAUAUAGUGGAAAUUACAGAGCGAAAAGGAAAGAGCAAUCCAGGGAAUACAACAGCCGGUUAUUUCUGAAAGUAUAUUGGCCCUUUAGCGACUCGAACAGCCGGUCCACUCUCCCGCUCACAAUGGCUCGAACGGGCAGGGAUAUAAUAAGAGGAUGAGUAGUUUAUAUCCCUAGACGCAAUGAUUUGUUUGGCGAACUCUAUCGAACGAACAAGUUAAAAGCACAUUUUCAAGUAUGCGUGGUAGAAGCAAGAACCCAUCAGAACUGGUUGAAUCUGUUUUUGAGCACUUUUGACCUCUUUUA